UUUAUGUUAGCUCAGUUGGUAGAGCAGUUGACUUUUAAUCAAUUGGUCGCAGGUUCGAAUCCUGCACGACCCACCA
rnacentral:tRNA from 1 species